AAAACAUUCUAAAAAAACCAAUCAGCCGCAGCAAAGAGGAGCGCCGCAGCCAUAGAGCUCCCCACCCCCAUCAGUUCAUCUCUUUCCUCAUAAACAAAACCAGAACACAAAAUUCCAUCUCCCUAAAAUAAUGCUGGGAGCUAAUUGAAAAGAAAAGCAGGGCAGCCGCAAAAGGAAACAGUACCCCCGCCCCCCUGAGCUCGACUUCUUCGCGAACCCCACCCCAAACGACCACUGCUUCGUCUUCUUCGUCCUCGCUGCUGGAAACGGAUACACACAUGCACAUACACCCAAAGAAGCCAUGGAAUACGAUGGAGCUUUGAUUGAGGUUUGAUACGCCGUUGAUUCGAGGGCUGUCGUUCAUGUUGGAAGUUCGCGGUUUCUGCUGGUUUUUUCUUAGCGCUGAUUUCGCUCAGAUUUGGAGUCGAAACUCGCCUCUGUUUUAGCGUUCAAGUUUCUUUGCAUUCCAGGCGUUGUAUUUUGCAAUUGCUCCUUCUCAUAUCAUUUUCGUAAUCGCUCCCUCUCAUGUUUCGACUGUUCUUAGAGUAUAUAUUCAAUUUUGAUAAUUGUUCUGUUUUCAAGCUAAGCUUUGUCGUACUGGAUUACUUAUUUUCAGUAUUUAAUGGGUUAGUUGUAUUUUCUUGGUAGGUUUGUGUUCAAAUAUAUUCUUGUUCUUAA